GUAAAUGUAGUUUAAUAAAAACAUUAAUUUGUGAAUCUAAACAUAGAAGUUUAAAUCUUCCUAUAUGCU
rnacentral:tRNA from 1 species